GGGAAGUUGGCCGAGUGGUUAUGGCGCUAGGUUUAGGCCCUAGUUUCGAAAGAUUCGCGAGUUCGAAUCUCGCACUUCUCA
rnacentral:tRNA from 1 species